ACCCUGUAGACGGCAGUCCACCAGGCUCCCCUAUUCCUGGGAUUCUCCAGGCAAGAACACUGGAGUGGGUUGCCAUUUCCUUCUCCAAUGCAUGAAAGUGAAAAGUGAAAGUGAAGUCGCUCAGUCGAGUCCGACUCUUCGGACCCCAUGGACUGCAGCCUACCAGGUUCCUCCGUCCAUGGGAUUCUCCAGGUAACCGCUUUGGACUUCCCUGGUGGCUCAGUGGUAAAGAAUCUACCUGCCAAUGCAGGAGACAUGGUUCCAGCCCCGGUCUGGAAAGAUCCUACAUGCCGAGGAGCAGCUGAGCCCGUGACCACAACUACCGACCCUGUGCUCUAGAGCCCGUGCUCUGACACGAGGGAAGCCACUGCAAUAAGAAGCCUGCUCAUCGCAACUAGAGAGCAGCCCGCACAGCAACAGAGACCCAGCACAGCCAAAAAUAAAUAAAUAAAUAAAAUGUCAGAAAAAGUAACAGCUUUAUCAAGAUUUAAUUCACAUACCAUACAACUCACCAAUUUAAACAAUUCAGUGGUUUUUAGUAUAUUCACAGAGUUGUACAACCAUCACCAUAAUCAAGUUUAGAAGAGUUUUGUCACCUCAGAAAGAAACCUCACACCUAUUGGCAGACAUUCUACAUUCCCCCACAGCUUUUACAGCCCUGCUGCUGCUGCGUCGCUUCAGUCGUGUCCGACUCUGCGACCCCAUAAACGGCAGCCAACCAGGCUUCCCGUCCCUGGGAUUCUCCAGGCAAGAACACUGGAGUGGGCUGCCAUUUCCUUCUCCAAGUCCUAGACAACUACUAAUCUCCUUUCUGUGUCUUUGGAUUUGUUUUGGAUGCUUCAUACAAGUGAAAUCAUAUAAUAUAUGGCCUUUUGUGACUAGCUUCUUUCACCUUAGGAUAAUGUUUUCAAGUAUAACCUUGUUUUAAAUUUUCCUGCUCUUAUAGGAGGGCUUCCUUGGUGGUUCAGUGGUAAAGAAUCUGCCUGCCAGUGCAGGAG
ensembl:lncRNA